rnacentral:miRNA from 1 species
AGCACGGUAUGAAGUUCCUA